rnacentral:tRNA from 1 species
UCUUCACUAGUAUAUCGGUUAGUAUAUUCGCCUCUCAUUAGAGAGCCGGCCUGUAGGCCUGACCGCGAAAGAGCAGGGUUCAACUCCCUGGUGGAGAA